UACGUAGGGUGCGAGCGUUGUCCGGAAUUAUUGGGCGUAAAGAGCUCGUAGGCGGUCUGUCGCGUCGGCUGUGAAAACCCGGAGCUCAACUCCGGGCCUGCAGUCGAUACGGGCAGACUGGAGUUCGGCAGGGGAGACUGGAAUUCCUGGUGUAGCGGUGAAAUGCGCAGAUAUCAGGAGGAACACCGGUGGCGAAGGCGGGUCUCUGGGCCGAUACUGACGCUGAGGAGCGAAAGCGUGGGGAGCGAACAGG
rnacentral:rRNA from 1 species